GUGUUGGAAAAAAGCAGUACUGGUUGUCCGACAGUAACUCCCAUUACAUUUGAUGAUGUUGACGCGGCGGAAGCAGGUCCAUCAAAAGAAGUCUGGAGCAGCAGAAGUUGGACUUCAGUAACACAACAGGCAAAAAAAAAAAUGGGGUAGCAAUGAAAGCAAGGUCUGAUGUCCAGGGCCAACCACAGCAGGCUACCCCGCCACGAAGAUUAUCGACAGUAUGUUCGGGCCCCACACUCCAAAUUUUGGACACACCUCCAAGACGUGACCCACACUCCCCUCAGCUUGAUUUCCUGGUAACAGCAUCCCUCCGCAACAUCAGCAAACAAGCAGCAGUUCUGGUACGACUACUCCAAAUAUCACGCCAAUGUCAUCACCACCAAGACGCUCCACCAGAGCACGCCAACAUGACAGUGGUAAAGGCAAAGGGCAGGACAAGCAGCCAACCAAAAUCAAUUAACAUUGAAAACUCACAUUUUUUAUUUCAGAGAAGUAAAUAAAAAUACUUUGUAAGUGUAUGUUUGUUAAAAAAGAUAUAACACUUAGCUCCUUGACAAUUUGAACAACAUCAUUAAUUAGAAGUGGUACAAACAGCAACAGGAAAUUCGUAUGCACAUUUAUUCUGUACCAUUUUUGCAAUUUUUUGGAGGAGGGAAAUGUUUGUGAUACACAUAGAUGUUAGCAGGAAGUAACCAGACCACUUGAUUUUUUUUCUAAUCAUUACUCUUUCUAGAUUCCAAUCAAUCUCAGAUCCUGCACACACAAUAAUUGGCAGCCAGCAAGAAUGUCUUUAGCAGGAACUAACCAGACCACUUGAUUUUUUCUAAUCAUUACUCUUUCUAGAUUCCAAUCAAUCUCAGAUCCUGCACACACAAUAAUUGGCAGCCAGCAAGAAUGUCUUUAGCAGAAACUAACCAGACCACUUGAUUUUUUUCUAAUCAUUACUCUUUCUAGAUUCCAAUCAAUCUCAGAUCCUGCACACACAAUAAUCGGCAGCCAGGCAUAAUCAUCCAUGACCAAUGCAACUUACAAUGUGAAUUAAAACUGGUUUACAUUUCUUCUGUAGACGACUUUACAAGAAAAACACAAUAGAGUUGUGUAAAAGUGUCCUAAUAUGUUUGUGUACAUUUAUAAUUUUUCAUAACCAAAAUGAAUGACAUUAUUGUUGUGGCAUGUUUGUGUGUGUAAAAAAUGAGUAAUCAUAUUUAAAAACCUGAGGCACAACCCACAAAAUAAAAAAGAUUUUAACUUUUAACACUAAUGUGUGUAAUAAUGGAUAUAUGUUGAAAAAUGUGUAUUGACUUUUAAAAGUC